UCGGCGCACUGCCCCCCCCCCCCCUCCCCGGCGGCCUGCAGGCGGUGGGGAUGGGGGCGGCGUUCCGGGACGGGUAUCGGCCAGAGGCGCCCCGGGAGGACCCUCGGAGGCCAGCUCUGGCCCUGCUGUCUCCGGAGACCCGUGCUCCCCAGGUUUGGAUGGCUAAGGAGCGGCCCUCCCGGGAGUCCCUCACCGCCUUCCCUGGGGCAGCCCGGGGCCCAGCCUCCCCGCUGGAAGGGCGGUGGCCCCCUGCCCUGACAGUGGCCCUAUCUGUCACAUCUCUGUUAAAAGCGCCCAGAGCACCCCACUCAGCUCUUUGUGACCUAGCCCAGCUGAGACUAAAGAGAGGUGCUUUCCAGUGGCUUUUUGAUGAUGGUGGCACGUUGGGAGCCUGCCACAGCCCUUUUAGAUCUCCGGGACACCGAGUUUUAUGAGUUUUAAUCUGCUGACUUUGGGCCUUAUUACCUCUGUGAAGUUCAGGGAUUUUAAGGAGGAAAAACCUGUCCAGGGCCCCACAGACGCCAGCCCUAAAGCUUGCCUUUGACGCAGCAGAGUCACCUGGGUACCUCCCAGGGGACAUCGGGGAAGAGGAGAGAAAACUAACAAGUUUUGUGCUUGAGUUGCAAAAAGUCAGAAGUCCCAGAGAAGGAGUGCCCAGAGUCUGUCUGCUGUGUGGAGCAGUGUCUGUGGCAGGAGGUUGGGAGGGCCCCUUGGGCAGUUGAAGGCAACCUUCAGACAGGACUGUAGUGGAAUUGUAUUAAGUGGACUCCUCCUCUGCCAGCAGUGAAGGCGUGGCUCAGACAGAUGAACACAGACCUUGUUGGGGUUUCUGUGUCCCAGGCCUUCUGAGUGUCCCAGUGCUCGAGGGGACAGCAGGCCUGUGUCAGUAUCCUUGUCUUGCAACUACAGAGUUUUUUAGGAUUGUGCCUCUUAGGAAUCUUUUGUUUUCCCCCCUGAACCCAAAUGGUCUCUGGAGCUAAUAAAAAAUAACGCUGUUUCCUCUGUACCAGAUA